rnacentral:rRNA from 1 species
AUUGAACGCUGGCGGCAGGCCUAACACAUGCAAGUCGAACGAGUGGCGGACGGGUGAGUAAUGUCUGGGAAACUGCCUGAUGGAGGGGGAUAACUACUGGAAACGGUAGCUAAUACCGCAUACCAUCGGAUGUGCCCAGAUGGGAUUAGCUAGUAGGUGGGGUAAAGGCUCACCUAGGCGACGAUCCCUAGCUGGUCUGAGAGGAGGACCAGCCACACGGGAACUGAGACACGGUCCAGACUCCUACGGGAGGCAGCAGUGGGGAAGAUUGCACAAUGGGCGAAAGCAGGAUGCAGCCAUGCCGCGUGUAUGAGGAAGGCCUUCGAGUUGAAAAGUCCGUUCAGCGGGGAGGCGUUACCCGCAGAGGAAGCACCGGCUAACUCCGUGCCAGCAGCCGCGGUAAUAC